AAGUCGUAACAAGGUCUCCGUUGGUGAACCAGCGGAGGGAUCAUUACAAGAAGCCGAAAGGCUACUUAAAACCAUCGCGAACUUAUCCAAGUUGCUUCGGCGGCGCGGCUCCCCUCACGGGGGACCGCAGCCCCCGCCUCUCAGGAGGUAAGGGGGCAGCCGCCGGAGGUACGAAACUCUGUAUUAUAGUGGUAUCUCUGAGUAUAAAACAAAUAAGUUAAAACUUUCAACAACGGAUCUCUUGGUUCUG
rnacentral:misc_RNA from 1 species